rnacentral:rRNA from 1 species
CUUAAUCUAAAUAUUAAGAUAAGGUAAGAGAAAAUAAUGAUAUUAUCUUACUAUUAGUGUCGUCUAAAUUUGGUGCCAGAAGACUCGGUAAGACCUUAGACGCAAACGUUAAUCGUCAUAAUCAGGCGUAAAGGGUGUGUAGGCUGCUUUAAAAAAUAUAAUAAGUAAUAUAAUUAUUAUAGCAAAAAAAUUAUAUUUUAAUAAAAGCUAGAAUCUAAAAGAGGGUAAGCUAAACAACAUAAUUAACUGGGACUGACAACUUAUAAUAAUGUGGAGUACUAAAGGUUAAAGCUAUUUAUCUACUGAAGAUUGACGCUGAGAAACGAAGGGGAGAAUAAGAAACUUAGAUUAGAGACCUAAUUAUCUCUCUCAGUCAACGAUGAAUGGUAGUUAUUAAAAAUUUUAUAAUUUUAGUAACGAGGUUAACACGAUGACCAUUCCGCCUUGUUAGUAAGACUGCAAAGUUGAAAACAAAAAAAUUAGUCGGUCUUGAAGCAAACGAAGUGAAGCAUGUUAUUUAAUUCGAUAAUCCGCA